CCAAUACUUGCUUGUGAAGCAAAAGAUCAAGAAGCCUGAGCUUUCUGCAGCAGAGAAUUCUGGUAGUGCGGAGGGCAGUAAUGGAGAUGAGUUUGACUGGUUGGAAGGGCUUACACAUUGGUCCAAUUUUUUGCUGUACAAGGAGGUUUUUGGGGAUGUUCCUAUGGCAUAUAGUUCUAAUGGUAGUAACGGGAGUGGUUUAACGGCAGUCUUGAAUGAGGAUAGGGAACAUGGUGCGGAAUUAUUGGGGGCUGGUAGAGGGAUGGAGAUCGCAGAGUUUGGGCAAAUCGGUAAUUCGGCAGAUGGGGAUUUUCCUGGGAUUGAUGGCGGUGAGAAUGUGAUGCUGGGCUUGGGUUUUGAGUAUGAAGGAGAAGAGGCAGAGGAAAAUUAUAAUAGCAAUGAUCGGGUGAGAGAGGAAGGGGAUGAUGGUUUCAUGUACGAAGAAGUGGAUGCUAAUGUGUCUAAUUUGAAAAAGAAGAAGAGGAAGGUGUUGAAGGGAUUGCAGAAGAGGGUGUUUGGUUUCCUUUCAAACCAAAUAGGGCAGUUGAGGGAAAUGGAGGCUCGGUUUGAGCAACAUGAAGCAGAGAGAGGGCGGGAGAGGCAGAGGAGGGAGAAUAUUCGAAUGGAGAGGGAGCAAGAAUGGGAACGGAAGUUGGAAGAGAAGGAAAAAGAGAGGGAAGAAAGGGAAAAGGCUAGGGAAAAGUUGAGAUGGCAAAGAUAUCAAGAAUGGGAAGCUAUGGAAAAGGAGAGUGAAGAGAGGGAAAGAAGAAGAAGAGAGGAGGAUUUGAUUCAAGAGAAAGAAUGGGAGGAGAGGAUGAAUCGGAGGAGGUCAGAAUGGAAGAAGAGGAUUGAUGGGAUGCUAAGUCAACACCGAGCAGAAAUGGGGCAGAUUCAGGCCCGAGUUCUCCAUGAGCAACAGAACCUUACUAGCCAAUUGCUUGGGAUUGUUUCACAGUGGACAG
rnacentral:misc_RNA from 1 species